AAUUGGUCCGUUAGGGACGACAUCAAAAGUUCAAUGAAGGAUAAAAAACUUAAUUCACAUAGUUUUUUCACUGACCCCCCCCCCCCCCCACCCCCUCUUAACUUAAUUUGGGAAAAAUUGAUUGACCCAUAUGGAUAUAUGUAAAAAUCAAUGUCGGAUAACCAAAUCUUGCAGCAGUUCAACCCCCCCACCCCCAAACUAUUUGAAUUAAGUUUUUUAUCUUACAUUGAUCUUUUGAUGUCGUCCCUUAUGGCUCUG
rnacentral:lncRNA from 1 species